AUUGAACGCUGGCGGCAUGCUUUACACAUGCAAGUCGAACGGUAACAGGCCGCAAGGUGCUGACGAGUGGCGAACGGGUGAGUAAUGCAUCGGAACGUGCCCAGUCGUGGGGGAUAACGCAGCGAAAGCUGCGCUAAUACCGCAUACGAUCUGUGGAUGAAAGCGGGGGACCGUAAGGCCUCGCGCGAUUGGAGCGGCCGAUGUCAGAUUAGGUAGUUGGUGGGGUAAAGGCUCACCAAGCCAACGAUCUGUAGCUGGUCUGAGAGGACGACCAGCCACACUGGGACUGAGACACGGCCCAGACUCCUACGGGAGGCAGCAGUGGGGAAUUUUGGACAAUGGGCGCAAGCCUGAUCCAGCAAUGCCGCGUGCAGGAAGAAGGCCUUCGGGUUGUAAACUGCUUUUGUACGGAACGAAAAGGCUCUGGUUAAUACCUGGGGCUCAUGACGGUACCGUAAGAAUAAGCACCGGCUAACUACGUGCCAGCCGCCGCCGUAAAAC
rnacentral:rRNA from 1 species